AGCCUUAGCACCGAAGGCACGCCUCCAGCCCGGCUCGCCCAAUCAUUUUCUCUUCCCCUCCACCCAGUUCUUGCAAUCCCCUGAUGCGCCGCUGCGCUCUCUCUUCGACGGCAUCACAUCGCCACCGCCACCAUCUUCAUCUCCAUGCCCCGUCCAUUGCAGCAGCCCACCCAAAGCAGGCCAAACAGUAGAAAAGGUAGGGCGAUUUGGUGGCGGCGGUAUCCACGGUGGCGACAACAUCAACCUCCCCGGCGGUCGUAACUAUGGAUAGUGGCGGCAUAAUUUGAAAACACCGGAGACCUGUACCACGACCCCUCCGGCAAUGAUCGUUGAUUUGUCAUGUCGAGAAAUUGUUUGGUGAAUUUUGAAAAUCCAAGCAGGCUGUAUGUGAAGUGUAUCAAGCUUAGGUACACUCCUUCAAAUGAAUUAAGUGAAAAAGGUUGUAGCGGUGUGUGAUCCAUCCCAAUAAAUAUUGAAGAGACGGGGCUCUUGGCAAAUGCAGUGCAAGACGCUGAUAACCAGCAUUUUGCCCUUGUCUCUGAGAGCUGUGUACCGCUGCAUAACUUCGAUUAUGUAUAUAGUAAUCGCAUGGGAACAAACAUCAGAUUUGUUGACUCGUAAGUGAAUGUCCUAAAGGUUAUGUCACAGAUGAUUCUGUAUAGAGGCAACGCCUUUUCUUCUAAAGUUGAACAAAUAUUUUAUUGACGGAUUUCUUGUUUCCCUCUUAUUCAUAAUUGUUACAAACAUCAUAUCCGCACCAUCGCUAUGCAAUUUUUCUUUCAGUUUCAGUGAUCCCGGUUCACAUGGAGCUGAUAGAUACUCUGACAAUAUGUUACAUGAUAUCGUGAAGAGAGAUUGGAGAAAAGGUGCGAGGUGAUAAUUUAUAUGCUUGAUCUCCCUAGAAAGUGCAAGCCUCGUUUCUUUUACCAAAUCCAAAUUAUUCAGUCCCAUUGGAUUACUGAAAACCUCAUAAAAAUGACAAGGAUAAUUCGAAAUUCUUCUUAAUUUUAUCAUAUGGUUUCCAAAUGGUGCAUCGCCUUUUUCUUUUCUUUACACUUUUCAGAUUGGUUUACAAAUUUAAUAAGCAUCUAUCGACUAAUUUUAAAAAUUCCAUGUUUUCCUAUAGCCCAACAUCCUCACUUUCUAAUGUGUUUUCCUCGCUCAGUGUCUUUCUUGCUGGCACUUUACCACGGAAAAUUCAAAUGCUACUGUAAGAAUAUCGAUGUAUGAGGUGGCGGUGGUUACAUUGACAAGUCAGCGAACAUCACUGCCAAACACCUUAUGCCACACUGCCCCGGCUCUGCGCUUCAUAGGUGAUAUGCGUGACAAGGACGCCCACCCUUUUUUUUUGAUUUGAUGCUUGUUUAGGUGAAUAUAGCUCUUCAUUGAUUUCAUCCCAAGGUUUUCUUAGUGGCGUCAAUGUUGUGUAAGAAUUUGGAGAAUGAUCACGAGUUUUGAAUUUUUUGGUUAGUGUUUGCGAAGCUCACCUCGAGAUAGCUGACCCACAUCAGGAUCUCACAUUUGUUAUACCUGUUCUGUGCAUCACCUAAUUGGCCUUUAAUGCAUCAAAGAGAAUACACUGAUUUUAAUUCAUGUUUCUGCUGCUUCAGUGAGAACUAUCAGAUUCAGUUCAUUUUCACACGCUCUUAGUUGUUGUCGUACUUCAGAGAUGAUAUUUCGGGCAACCAGGUGGAAACUGUCAUCUUUUACAUUCUUCGUUGGACAUGUUUUUGCUUAGUUGCUUCUAGAGCUGUCAUAUUUCUUUUGCCACACCAGAUAUAGACUACUUUUGUGGUUGCUACCCUUGUGAUUCCCCCCUCAAUAAAUUUCAGCAUUGUGGUUAGCUAUCUUGAAAGUUCUUUUUCGUUUCAGUGCAGCAUGAGCAUAGUGUGAGAUUACGUUUUUUGUUUGCUCAUCGACAUACAACUGAUUCGUUAUCAUUUAUCACCCAUGAGGCAUAUGAACCUGGUUCUUUUCAGGCACAACUUUCCUUCAUUUAUCAAAGCAUUUCAAAUACUAAACCUGAUCUUGUUUAUUAUAUGUUGAUGUGUUCAUUUUUUGAGUAGCCUACCAUUUUUGACAAGUUUGCUUUGUCCAAACUUCUGACAAAUGGUUGUUUCACACUGCCUUAGAACUGAAUUUCCUUCAUAGCUUUGGUUAACUUAUCUUUGGUGUUGCCUGCAUUUUUUUUUUUGAUAGAUAUGCAGAUGCUUUAUUGUUAGCUUGUUGCAUUUAGGUUCAGAGGAUCUGCUCUUUUUGGGGACUCCCAAUCUGCUUGCUAGGCUGUAACCCUGUUUAUCAUACUCACAUAAUGAUCACUCAUACAUUGAUUUCAGGACCACGGGUUUUUAUUAAACUGCAUCUUAUGUUCAUCCUUUGUUUCAUCUUCACAAGACAGUGGGAGUGCUUUUAUUUUAUUUCUUACGUUUUUCGUUGCUCUACCUUGGAACCUUAGAACAAAUAUACCUUGUGUAUGCAGAGUGCUAGCAUCAUCAGCUGUAGUUAUUUUUUCCUUUUUUACUUAUGAAAUGUUUUGAUCUAUCUUUCAUUAUGAACUUCACCUUGUUGUUUAGCUAAUAUUAUCGUGUCAACCAGAUAGCUCUAGGUAUCAACGUCUUCUUAGGAUUUAUGGUUGCGGCAGUAUGAUGUUGUGUUACAAGUUGCCGACAGGCACAACGAAUGCAUUGGCAGAAACGAAGCUGACAGUUUCAGGUCCUUCUUCACGAGAGUAGUACUGAUUUUGUCUUGCAAGAAGCUAUGUAUCCAAAUUUAUGAAUAGUUUUUCUUUUUUUUAUAUAU